rnacentral:rRNA from 1 species
AAUGAACGCUGGCGGCGUGCCUAACACAUGCAAGUCGAACGGCCGGACAGUAAGCUCGUGCUCUUACGGGUGGCGACUGGCGGAUGGGUGAGGAAUAGAUCGGAUUCUACUUUUUCUGGGGUGAUUACGUAGAGAAGCUUAUGCUAAUACCGCAUAUUUUCUACGGGUGGGUUCAGGAGAUCUUCGGACCUUUGGUGUUUGUUUGAGCCGGUGCCGGAUUAGCUAGGUGGCUAGGUAACGGCUCACCAAGGCGACGAUGCAUAGCCGACCUGAGAGGAUGAUCGGCCACACUGGAACUGAGACACGGUCCAGACUCCUACGGGAGGCAGCAGUAGGGAAUCUUCGGCAAUGGGCGAAAGCCUGACGGAGCAACGCCGCGUGAGUGAUGAAGGUCUUCGGAUCGUAAAACUCUGUUAUUAGGGAAGAACAGAUGUGUAAGUAACUGUGCACAUCUUGACGGUACCUAAUCAGAAAGCCACGGCUAACUACGUG